CCUAACACAUGCAAGUCGAACGGCAGCACAGUAAGAGCUUGCUCUUAUGGGUGGCGAGUGGCGGACGGGUGAGGANUACAUCGGAAUCUACUCUUUCGUGGGGGAUAACGUAGGGAAACUUACGCUAAUACCGCAUACGACCUACGGGUGAAAGCGGAGGACCUUCGGGCUUCGCGCGAUUGAAUGAGCCGAUGUCGGAUUAGCUAGUUGGCGGGGUAAAGGCCCACCAAGGCGACGAUCCGUAGCUGGUCUGAGAGGAUGAUCANCCACACUGGAACUGAGACACGGUCCAGACUCCUACGGGAGGCAGCAGUGGGGAAUAUUGGACAAUGGGCGCAAGCCUGAUCCAGCCAUGCCGCGUGGGUGAAGAAGGCCUUCGGGUUGUAAAGCCCUUUUGUUGGGAAAGAAAAGCAGUCGGUUAAUACCCGAUUGUUCUGACGGUACCCAAAGAAUAAGCACCGGCUAACUUCGUGCCAGCAGCCGCGGUAAUACGAAGGGUGCAAGCGUUACUCGGAAUUACUGGGCGUAAAGCGUGCGUAGGUGGUGGUUUAAGUCUGUUGUGAAAGCCCUGGGCUCAACCUGGGAAUUGCAGUGGAUACUGGGUCACUAGAGUGUGGUAGAGGGUAGCGGAAUUCCCGGUGUAGCAGUGAAAUGCGUAGAGAUCGGGAGGAACAUCCGUGGCGAAGGCGGCUACCUGGACCAACACUGACACUGAGGCACGAAAGCGUGGGGAGCAAACAGGAUUAGAUACCCUGGUAGUCCACGCCCUAAACGAUGCGAACUGGAUGUUGGGUGCAAUUUGGCACGCAGUAUCGAAGCUAACGCGUUAAGUUCGCCGCCUGGGGAGUACGGUCGCAAGACUGAAACUCAAAGGAAUUGACGGGGGCCCGCACAAGCGGUGGAGUAUGUGGUUUAAUUCGAUGCAACGCGAAGAACCUUACCUGGUCUUGACAUCCACGGAACUUUCCAGAGAUGGAUUGGUGCCUUCGGGAACCGUGAGACAGGNGCUCAUGGCNA
rnacentral:rRNA from 1 species